CCCUGCUUUUGUGGGGUGCUCGAGUGGCGAACGGGUGAGUAACACGUGAGUAACCUGCCCUUGACUUUGGGAUAACUUCAGGAAACUGGGGCUAAUACCGGAUAGGAGCUCCUGCUGCAUGGUGGGGGUUGGAAAGUUUCGGCGGUUGGGGAUGGACUCGCGGCUUAUCAGCUUGUUGGUGGGGUAGUGGCUUACCAAGGCUUUGACGGGUAGCCGGCCUGAGAGGGUGACCGGCCACAUUGGGACUGAGAUACGGCCCAGACUCCUACGGGAGGCAGCAGUGGGGAAUAUUGCACAAUGGGCGGAAGCCUGAUGCAGCAACGCCGCGUGCGGGAUGACGGCCUUCGGGUUGUAAACCGCUUUCGCCUGUGACGAAGCGUGAGUGACGGUAAUGGGUAAAGAAGCACCGGCUAACUACGUGCCAGCAGCCGCGGUGAUACGUAGGGUGCGAGCGUUGUCCGGAUUUAUUGGGCGUAAAGGGCUCGUAGGUGGUUGAUCGCGUCGGAAGUGUAAUCUUGGGGCUUAAACCCUGAGCGUGCUUUCGAUACGGGUUGACUUGAGGAAGGUAGGGGAGAAUGGAAUUCCUGGUGGAGCGGUGGAAUGCGCAGAUAUCAGGAGGAACACCAGUGGCGAAGGCGGUUCUCUGGGCCUUUCCUGACGCUGAGGAGCGAAAGCGUGGGGAGCGAACAGGCUUAGAUACCCUGGUAGUCCACGCUGUAAACGGUGGGUACUAGGUGUGGGGUCCAUUCCACGGGUUCCGCGCCGUAGCUAACGCUUUAAGUACCCCGCCUGGGGAGUACGGCCGCAAGGCUAAAACUCAAAGGAAUUGACGGGGCCCCGCACAAGCGGCGGAGCAUGCGGAUUAAUUCGAUGCAACGCGUAGAACCUUACCUGGGUUUGACAUGGAUCGGGAGUGCUCAGAGAUGGGUGUGCCUCUUUUGGGGUCGGUUCACAGGUGGUGCAUGGCUGUCGUCAGCUCGUGUCGUGAGAUGUUGGGUUAAGUCCCGCAACGAGCGCAACCCUUGUUCACUGUUGCCAGCACGUUAUGGUGGGGACUCAGUGGAGACCGCCGGGGUCAAC
rnacentral:rRNA from 1 species